rnacentral:rRNA from 1 species
ACAGCAGCAGCCGCGGGAAUACGGAGGGUGCAAGCGUUAAUCGGAAUUACUGGGCGUAAAGCGCACGCAGGCGGUUUGUUAAGUCAGAUGUGAAAUCCCCGAGCUUAACUUGGGAACUGCAUUUGAAACUGGCAAGCUAGAGUCUUGUAGAGGGGGGUAGAAUUCCAGGUGUAGCGGUGAAAUGCGUAGAGAUCUGGAGGAAUACCGGUGGCGAAGGCGGCCCCCUGGACAAAGACUGACGCUCAGGUGCGAAAGCGUGGGGAGCAAACAGGAUUAGAUACCCGUGUAGUCCCUGUCUCUUAUAC